GGGGAUAUAGCUCAGUUGGUAGAGUGCUUGCCUACCAUGCACAAGGCCCUGGGUUCAAUCCCCACGUGCUCUCU